GUGCUCACUUCGGCAGUACAUAUACUAAAAGUGGAAUGAUACAGAGAAGAUUCGCGUGGCCCCUGCACAAGGAUGAUACACAAAUUCGUAAAGUGCUCCACAUUUUU
rnacentral:snRNA from 1 species